AUGGCAGAACUUCCUAUGUUUAGCUGUAGAGGAAUUGUCAGGAAAUGAAACCAAAACAGUUUGCAGGAGCAAGGUUAGAACUGAUAGACCUCUAAUUAUUUUCCUUUAGUCAACAGAGGAACAGGGCUUAGAAUUCAAUUACUAACUUGGAAUACAGUUCUUACAGCAAGAGACACAAACUAUCACUGGAAGGCUCUAUCCCCAGGAUGUAGUAGAGGUAGUCACAUAGCAUUAGUGUGCCGAAUGUCUUUACUGUCCAACAUAGGUAGUGUUAGUCAAUGAGCACCUCCAGGGACCUCCAUGAGAAGAUGAUGGAGAGAUUGCAUGGAAUAUUUCUUUGCCAGUAAGAGAUUGUUUCUUCGUGUAGGUGAAUAGGACUUGCUGGAAGAUGGCCUUUUACCUCCAAGCACAGUAUGAUAACCCCACUGCUAUUUUGGAAUAGAUUACCUUGGCAUGGAAAUCAUGGAGGAUCACAGGACCCCAACUUAGGAUUCCAGACAUUGCCACCUCCUGUCUUCUGCCAUCAGCAAGAAUUGUGGAAGAUGCUACAGUAUACAGGAAAAGGAAGUUAACUGAAAGUUGGGACUCCAUGGUGCAGCUUUGUUAAGUUGCAUGAUGGGUUGAAACUCUGUGGUGAUGCAGUUGGUUUGGGUUCACCUAUGCUCCUGUAAUCCCUUUCCUUCUCUGUAAGCAACCCCAAUAAUCACAUUGGCUUACCAGGCUGGACUUUGGUCUGUCCUUGGUGUCCCAACUGGGGUGAAUGCAUGGUUGUUCACAUCUUCCAGGAAAAGUUGACACAAUCUAGACAGCCCCACUGUAUAGUUAGACCCUAAAGAGAAGCAGCCUAAAGAAGUAAAAGGCUGUUUUGGCUAAUGGUCUCAGAGGGACUUCAGUGCCUCACCAAUGGCAAAAUAUAGAAGUCUGGCACCUUCCCUGGUAGGUGGCCUGUCAGGAAGCAGAAACAUCAGGCCAGAAUUAGGACAGGUAGAACCUUUAAACGCUACUUCAAAGCAACGGUGGAUUUUCAGCAGCCAGUCCUCACCCUUUAAAAGCUCCAGAACUGUCAAAAUACUCCUAGAACAGAGCCUUCAAAGCACUGGCCCGUGAGAAGUAUUUCAGGUGCAAACUGUCAUACUCUGUAUAUGAAUGGGCUGGGGUUUGUUCAUUCACAAAUGAUAAGCAGUUAAGUGUUUUAUUUUGUGUUUAUUUUAUUUCUCUACAUUCCUAAAAAUACAGAGAGUUGAUGCUAUACUUGUAACUUUUUGAAUAAUUGUUGCCCUUACUCCAAAAUCAUUAAAGCAUUAUAGAAGUCAACUAUCUAAGCAUGACUCCUACCAUGGAUGUUUGACCAACACUAAUAAUCAUUCACCUUGUCUACUUUAACACUUUUAAGUGGGCACCUGGUAGCUUCCCAUUCUCUUUUUAGAUUUUGUUUAGAACAGUGACUCUCAACCUUCUUAAUGUUGUGACUCUUUAAACAUUAACUCAUUAAACUCAUGUGGUGGUGACCUCCCCUUCAACCAUAAAAUUGUUUUGAUGGUACUUCAUAACAUAAUUUUGUUUUGCUUUUGUUUUUUGUUUCUGUUCUGUUUUCUCUUUAUUUACUGGUAUCUUCUCUAAUAUUUAUAUUUUUAUUUCUCCCAUUUCAUGUGGAUUUAAUUAUUGUUUGCAUGUUCUACCAUGAUUUUAUUUCCCACUUUUAAAGUGUAUUUCUUAUAGAGACUGCGACUUUGGGCUUUGCUGUUUAUUUUUUGUUGUUUUGUUUUUAUCCAGAUCAAAGAUCUCUGCAGAUUAAUUUAAAUAAUUUAUAUCACUUGUUUUUAAUAUAAUCUUAACUCAUACCACUUUGGAAUCUAUUAUAUUGCUACUUCUUUUCUUUUUAUUGAAUUGUGUAUUAUUCUUUUUGCUCUUGCCUUUCUCUGAAGAAAAUAUUCUGACAUUCCAUUUUGUGUCCAUCCUCUGUUUUUUCCUUCUAAUAAGAGAAUAUCAAUAGCAAAAUUCACUCCAGUAGCAUCACCAGUAACAAUAAGAAAAAUGAAACAGAGUGUAAGGCUCCUAACAUGAAAGAAAACCUAUGGUGAAACCCCACUACAAUAUGCUACUCAACAAUAAAGAGAAAUCAACCUAUACAGCACCACAGUUCAGUCAUAGCAGCUGGCUGAGUGACAGAGCAUGAUACACAAGAGCAGUGCUUAGUUAAUUCUAUUUCCAUGAGAAUCUAGCAAAACAAAAUGAACUCAUGGUGACAGAAAUGGGAAGAAGAAGCCAUUCUAUGAAGAAGCCCUGAGAAGGAUGUAGAAAUUUUCUUGAAUCUUAGAGGUGUAGAAUAUAUAGAAAAGAAUACUGAAUUUCUUGUGUGUAUGUGUUUUUAAAACCAAUCAACUUAGUCAGCUAAGAUCCUUCUCAGCAAACAGUUAUGAAGAAGUUCUGGCUUCUUGACUGAUGGAAUAUAUCAAUUAGACUCCAGAGUUAGGGGCUCCUAUUCUUUUCUAUGUCCCUAACAUUUCCCUGUUUCUAUGUCUUGCCUCAAUUGUGAGCUGACUUGUCCUUUGUUUGAUUUCUGGCCAAGGCCUGACCCACAGUGCAUGCUCAGUGACAAGAGCAGAGUGAGGCUCUCCUUUUCUGGCCUGAUUUUCUGAACUGCGGUUUUCAUUGUGGUGGAAUGAGGGAGGGGUUAUGCCAGGCUUCUGAUCUUUCAGGGGAUAGUUCUAAUAUUUGUAAGAUCUUCACAAUCCCAACCUCAUCUCUAGUCUGGAAGCAUAAGAGUCUGGAUUAUUCUGGAUGCUCACAUCCUACCAAACACAGCUGUUUCAGGCUGAAGUCAGUAUUGACAAUGAGCAUGCAGGAGCUGGAAGUGUUGCCAGGCUGAUGAUUGCAGCACACAGCUUAGCCACACUGCUGCAGAAAGGCACUGGGAAGUCUGAGAAGGCCACUUCACUCAUUGCUCUCCCUGAAUUCCUUGUUCCUAUGGUGAGACAAGUUUAGCAUAUCCAUUCACUAGAUGUUUUUUCUAUUUCUGCUAGUUAGAAAAUUGCCGAGCAGCACUGCUGAAUCUAACUUCUUGAGUCUUCCGUGAAGCUGUAGUUUGGGUGUCAUCUCUUCCCAGAGGGUUUUCCUGACCCCAUACAGGCAUACUUGCUAUUCUUUUCCAUACUCUGAUUAUACGCAUACUUAAUUUCUAAUGGUAUUUUAGCUUAUAGUUGUUUUAGAAAGUUAAAUCUAAUGAAAUAUGUAACAUAAGGUGUGAUGGGUUAGUGCUAAUUGUCAGCUUGAAAGCCUCUAGAGUAACCUCAAGAUGGAUCUUUAGGCAUGCCCCUGGAGGAUUAUCUUCAUUGGUUUAAUUAAUGUGAAGGACCCAACUACUGUGAGAGACACCAUUCCCUGGCCAGAAUCUUGGACUGCAUAAACGGAGAAAGGAGCUGACUAAUAGUGGGCAUUAGUCUCUCUUUGCUUCUUAACUGUGAAUUCCAUAUGACCAGCUGCUUCAAGCUCCUACCACCUCAAUUUUCGUGAAAUGACGGACUGUGUACUUAUAUUGUAAACCUGAAUAAACCCGUUCUUCCUUAAGUUGCUAUUGUUAGAGCAACAAAAAAAUGUAA